AUAUAUAUGUGUGAGGUGUGUAUGUGGUGUGUUGAUUCGUGUGUGGGGUGUGUGUAUCUAUAUGGUACAUUUGUAUAUCUGGUGUAUUUGUGAAUGUACAUCAGAAGUGUUGUGGUAGGUGUGUGUGCAGGUGUGUGUGUGCAGUGUUUACACUGUGUGUGUAGUUUGUCUACGUAUGUGUGGAGUGUGUGUAAGUAUAAGAGGGAUACUGAGACCCAUGGCCAGGGGGAGCUAGAGUGUUCAGGGCACGUCCCAAAGCCAGGCCUGGUUCUCAUACUCCCUUGCCUUUUUGGAGAAAGCAGGGCCAUAAACAGCGACCCUUUCUGGAUGUCCCCUGUCGCCGGCAGUGUGGGUUAAAGGGCCAGUGUCUCUUGCAGUGCCGCUGCCCAGGCUCCGCUCACUUCUGUCCUCCCCCUUCCUGAGAAAAGAGCAACUUCCCCUUUAAGAGAAGGAAGCUUCAUUGCUCUACUAAAGAAAGGGAUCUAACGUUUGGUGGUGAGGGUGGUGGAGGUGGUGCCACCACAGGAGUUAGAUUAGUAUCGGAGUGGCACUGGGGUCUCCCAGCUGAACAGGUUAGCUGCUGACGUGGCAGAAGGAGUCAUGAGGGAACCUGCGAGGCAGCGGGACCUUGAACCCAGUGGGGGUGAAGGGCCCCGUGUGGGCCUCAGUCUUUUCUCCCCCAGGCCACAUACGGAUAAUGUCUUCAGCACUUUCAGCCUCAGUGUCCUGUCUGCAUUCUAUGGCUUGAGCCUAAACUUGCCUAUUUUCCCUGGCUGCAUGGAGUGGCAGAGCCAGGAUACCUCCCUGGCCAGAAAGGAUGCCUGGACUCAGACUUCCCCAGCCAGGAGAAGGAUCAGGUCCACUCAAGUCCAGGGUGCAGGUAAGUCUGUCUACUAUUGGGCUGGGGCCAGGGAAGCAGGCUUGUCCCUGCUAUGGGCAGUGCUCAACAAGUGGGUGUGGAGAAAGAGGAGAAAGGGCUUUACCAUGUGCCAGGAUUCAAACGAUCUGCGGGCCGUUACGUGAGUCAUUUGCAGUUGACCACUAGUUUGUAGAUUUCUGGGCUCUUCUCCAGUUUCUCCUCCCCGCUGGUGGCCAGUUGGCCCUGUGGCCUCUAGUUUCCUUGCCUGCCUCAAGAAGGCAGGUCUGUGACCUUCACUUGCCAUUGGCCAUGGGUCAGGCAUGGAGGCCAAGGAAGAACAGAAGGAGGGUGGUCCUUGGGGCAGACAGGCCUGGGCUCAACUUUCAGCUCUGCCAGCCCUGGACAAGUCACCUGUUCUCUCUGUGUGAGAUUCAGAUUUAUCCCUGGUGAAUUGGAGCUAAAACUUCCUAGAGUUACUGGUAAAGAUUAACCGAGAAGAUGGCUGUAAAUUGCACAGCUCAGCCACUGGCACUAGGUCCUCAAUACAAAAAGCUUUAUUCUCCACUUUCUCUCUUGCAUCCCCCCAUCUUGUCUUGAGUGGCUCAAUGAGUCACAAAUAUCCAUUUGGCAACUUCCAACACUCCCCAUUUUUAGAUUUACAUAAGACCAGCAGCUUUCUCUCCCUCAGCAGCAACAGUCAGAGGGUUGCAGAGCAGAUGUCUUGGUGUGAAACUG
rnacentral:lncRNA from 1 species